GCCUCCGUAGCUCAGAUGGAUAGAGCAACGGACUUCUAAUCCGUAGGUCGCAGGUUCGACUCCUGCCGGGGGCGCAA
rnacentral:tRNA from 1 species